rnacentral:rRNA from 1 species
ACCUGCCCAAUGUUAGAAAUAAUGAAUGGCCGCGGUACCCUGACCGUGCUAAGGUAGCGUAAUCAGUUGGCUUUUAAAUGGAGUCAGGAAUGAAUGGGAAAACCGGGUCUAGCUGUCUCCAAACUAUUUUUUUGAAUUUACUGUUUAAGUGAAAAAGCUUAAAUUUGAUAAAGGGACGAGAAGACCCUUAGAAUUUUUUUUAAAGUGAAAGUUUUUCAUAAUAAUUUUGUUGGGGCGACAGAGAGAUAUUUAAAACUUUCUUUAAAUUACAAGCCGAUUUUGUUAAGUAAGAA